UACAGAGGUCUCAAGCGUUGUUCGGAUUCAUUGGGCGUAAAGGGCGUGUAGGCGGCGCCGUAAGUCGGGUGUGAAAUUUCGGAGCUUAACUCCGAAACUGCAUUCGAUACUGCGGUGCUUGAGGACUGGAGAGGAGACUGGAAUUCAUGGUGUAGCAGUGAAAUGCGUAGAGAUCAUGAGGAAGACCAGUGGCGAAGGCGGGUCUCUAGACAGUUCCUGACACUGAGACACGAAGGCCAGAGGAGCAAACGGG
rnacentral:rRNA from 1 species